GCGGUUCACUGCGGCACGGUCGCGGUGGCCGAAAGCCAAAUCUAGACAACUCGCCAUCAAGUAGAGAAAAUCGGCUGAUGGGAAUCGUAGUUUGCAGCCUCUACGGAUGGGAAACGGGAGGAGGCACGGGUGUCUCCGUGGUUACCGCGCGACGCCAGUGGCUGCUUGCCUGGCAUUUGAUAGCAAGAUGGCGACCAUUGCCUCACCUGUAGCCCAAAUACUGGAAAAAACUGUGAGAGGACUCAGAGGUCCGGGCAGCACCUCACAGACCAAUGCAGAAUUUCAGGAUCCUUCUAAACUUUCACUCCCACACUCUCCUGAGGACCUUAUUAUCCCCCCACAAGAAGUCAGGGCCAAAGAGAACUUACCUCAGGAAAUUCUUGGGUGUUUAGUGCUCAGAAGACAUGGAUGGUACUGCUAACCCUGGGACUGAAGCCUUGCACUAAGUAAGGGCCUUCAGUGAUGGGAUACAACGGCCAUCCAGCAUAUAAAGCUUGAGCAUGGCCAGCGCCCAUUCCUCAUCACCCCUCCACCCAUGCAGCUCGAGUGCCAAUGCCCCAGGAUGCUGGAACUCACAGGCUGGACUUUGCCCUGCUGUGACCUCUGAGAGCCUGUCAGGGCCGAGAUGCAGCCCCAACAGAAGUAGCUGCGUCACCAGUACACCUAGGGGUG